rnacentral:tRNA from 1 species
CUGGGGCUGGGGCUCAGUGGUAGAGCACUUGCCUAGCACAUGCAAGGUGCUGGGUUCAAUCCUCAGCACCACA